GACGAACGCUGGCGGCGUGCUUAACACAUGCAAGUCGAACGGAAAGGCCCUGCUUUUGUGGGGUGCUCGAGUGGCGAACGGGUGAGUAACACGUGAGUAACCUGCCCUUGACUUUGGGAUAACUUCAGGAAACUGGGGCUAAUACCGGAUAGGAGCUCCUGCUGCAUGGUGGGGGUUGGAAAGUUUCGGCGGUUGGGGAUGGACUGGCGGCUUAUCAGCUUGUUGGUGGGGUAGUGGCUUACCAAGGCUUUGACGGGUAGCCGGCCUGGGAGGGGGACCGGCCACAAUGGUACUGAGAUACGGCGCAGACUGCUACGGGAGGCAGCAGGGGGGAAUAUGGCACAAUGGGCGGAAGCCUGAUGCAGCAACGCCGCGUGCGUGAUGACGGCCUUCGGGUUGUAAACCGCUUUCGCCUGAGACGAAGCGUGAGUGACGGUAAUGGGUAAAGAAGCACCGGCUAACUACGUG
rnacentral:rRNA from 1 species